UUAGUGUUUGCUCAUAGUCAUAGAAGCUAAAGAGCAUUAUUGUGAUCAAUAUGCUUAUUUCAUUGGCUGAAUCAGAUGGAGAAAAGCAUCAUCUGCAGGAAAUACAAUAACACAUUGAUCAAGCUACAACCAUACUAAUCAUUAGUCCUAAAAAAUACUUCACAUACACUUAACCGCAAUGCAAAAUACAAUUAAAAAAAUUAGCUCCACAAACGACACCUCAUAAGAACAAAUAUAGGUGAAGUAUUUUUUAAUUACAUGGUAUCAGUUUUAGGAACGUCAAUUUUAGGGAUUCUCUUACGCUAUAAUAUAGGUGGAGUAUCAGAAAUGUAGAAAAGAAAAAAAUAAUGUUGACCUUUAUAAAGAAACAUGAACUUGAACUUAAAUUUCAAGGCGAGAAAGAAUCAAUAUCAUAUUAUAUCAUACUGGCCGAAACAGAAUCCAAAUGACUAAAAUAUUUAUAGAAAGAUAGAAGCAAUACCCGUAGAUCUUUUGAUGCCAUGAAUGGAUUUCAGGGGUUAUUUGGAGAGCUUUGGUUUUGUCAUUGGAUUGUGGAAGAGAAGGUGUUAUGAGCUUUCUAAGUAAUUUGUUGUCUGAAGUCUGAACAAAGCUAAUAUUGCCUCUGUACGACAAAUUAAAAAAAAUGCAGGAAAAACAUUAGGAACCACACAUGUCACAGGAGAAAGAUAAGCAUCAAUGAAGUAAAAGCAAGCAGGGUAGGAAAAAAAAUGCCCAGUAUUUGUAGAGGUCAAAAUCUGUAACAUCUACACAGAUAAGCAUGUCCAUUUACGAUAAAUUAACAGGCACCGCUGUAACAAAUCUUUUUCUUAAAAUAUAGCAACACCAAAGUUUAAUAAGCAAGAGAUGGGAAGUCACCAUUUUUGUAGGCUGUGUUCCAAGGAAUGGAUUGUUUGCUAGAGCAAAGUUAUGGUCCUCAAUUUAUAGGAUUGAAAAUAAUGAAGUUGAAAAGACGAGAGAUAAGUGAGAAUUAAAUGAAAGGAUUAAUGAAAGGAAAACUCAGAAUAAAUAUCAGAGCAAAGAUUCUUGGGACGUUACGUUGUCGACUUUCUGUCAAGAGGCAGGGAAGAAGAAGAACGACCAAGAAGAAAAAUAACCUAAUCAUAUUUGGGCCUAUAUUAAUCACACAAAAGCCCAACCUAUUUGGUGGGACAAACACACAGACGUAAGCGACGCGCUCGCAGAGAAGGGAGAGUGUGAGAAACACCGAUCCACUCCCGAGCCGACACAUGUCAAAAAAAGCCCCCUCUCUUUUGGUGUCGUGGAGGCUUGUGUGCAUCACACAAGUCAACUUUAUAUAUAAAGAUAUUUAUUAUUGUUACCGUAAAGAUUACGACGAUUUAAAAGUAAUAUUCUCGUACCUAAUAAUCUGUUAAUCAGGGGAGUAAGUUAUUAUUAAUACGGAAUAAGUUUGUUUAUUGGGUAAUAAAUUGAUUCGUAAACCAAAUUAAAAGACUACAGGGUUAAAUUCGGAUUUUCGAAAAGCUAUAUGCCUACCAAACUAGUUAGCCUCUAGCUGAGGCAGCGGGUUUCAGAAUCCAGAGAGAUCCCAACGAAGAGGAGAACGAGAAGCCAAACAGACGAUUAUAAGGAGAUGAGGAUCACUGUGAUGACAGCCGGAGUGCCGGUGAACAAAUCAUUACACUUGAUGUUGAUUCUCACGAUACAUUAAGCUUUACUUUCCACGAAUAUGAUUCUUUGGGUUUACUUAACUAAAUGUUGAGAAUGUUAAAGCCUUGCUCGGAGUUGAGGUAAGUGAUCUCAUAUAUAUCUGAUAUGAACCUGGCCGCAUCAAAAUUCAUAGGACGAGCUGAGCACUCUCUGGCUCAGCUGGUCGGACUGUCAGUUACCUGGGUGAGCUGAGUGAGCUGGUUCGACCACCCGAGAAGCAAGAAACGACCAACCUUCUUUCUGACACUUCUGAGCAGAAAGGAAUUGAUGAGAACUGGGAAGCUGCCCUUGAACAUGUUUUAGUUUAUGCUUAUGAAAUUAGUUAUAUUUAACUUUAUCAUAGGCAGACAUGGAUUAUUUUUUCUCAUUUCCUUAGAUAAUGCUGUAUGGUGGAUAUGGAGGUUAACGGUACGUACGCCUCUAAAGGCAAAAUUUGGCAUCCAGAUGAUAACCUCUUUUUGGCUUACUAUCUGGUUUCGAUCUUAAUCAGUUCCUCAGUGCUCUUAGAGAUUUGUUAUUUAGCACUCCUUAGUUCAUUUUGAAUCAUUCCAGGCUUUUGUUGUGGUGCACAAUACACAAUUAUAUCCCAAGAGUUGUGCUGAGAGAUGCGGGUUGCUGAGACUCAUGGAUCAACGCUAUGAAGGUCAUGGUGUUGGCCAAUCAGAGAUAGUAGGCCGCAUUCAUGUUUUAGUCUUGAUUGGAGGCUUUGGAGCAACCAGCAAAACCUUCUUUUUAUUCAGGUCAAAAUCUGAGUUUCAGCAACCUGAGUGUAAGUUAACCCAAAGAAUCUUUGUACAACCCAAAUCACCCUCAGAGCUAAACGCAGCGUUUUCCGGCAUAAAAUCACCCUCAGAUUCUUUGGGUUUACCAAAAAGCCAACAAAUUGUCGUUUAGCGAGACCUAUCAAAUCUGCCUUAUUGUAUUUUACUAGCUCUUUAGAAAAACAUAGGAAAGGUGUAAACUGCAAGAUAAUGUCAUCAAGACAUUCUGUUUAUGCUGUCGAGUUAGCAAACAAAGUUUAUAAAACUGGAAUUGUGUUGGA